UACGGAGGGGGCUAGCGUUGUUCGGAAUUACUGGGCGUAAAGCGCGUGUAGGCGGCGGCGUAAGUCGAAUGUGAAAGCCCUUGGCUUAACCAAGGAAGUGCAUUCGAUACUGUGUCGCUUGAGUACCGGAGGGGAUGGCGGAAUUCCUGGUGUAGAGGUGAAAUUCGUAGAUAUCAGGAGGAACACCUGUGGCGAAGGCGGCCAUCUGGACGGUGACUGACGCUGAGACGCGAAAGCGUGGGGAGCAAACGGG
rnacentral:rRNA from 1 species